rnacentral:lncRNA from 1 species
UCCAAGUUUAUUUUUUACUUUAGAAUAAACUAAUAAAAACACUCCUAGUUUUGCUACACAUCAUUUUAUCAAUUUUUCUCAAGUAAGAUAUCUGAUACCAAUUAUACUUUUUCUUCCUUUUUUUUACUUUGGUCCAACAUAUUUUUUUUUAUUUUUUUUAUUUAAAAUAAACUAAAUUGAAACACUCCAAUUUUUUUGCACAUCAUUUUAUCAAUUUUACUGAAGUUACAUAUUUGAUUCAGUGCAAGUAUGUUUUUUUUUAUUAUUAUAUCUUAUAGGUUUAUGUCACACUGAGUCUUCAGGUGUCAGUUAUGAAUGUUUAUUGCACAGGAAAGCUGUCUAUGGCACAGUUACAAUAAAUACAGUACAAAUCUGAAGCAAGAAACUUUGGUGGAAGAUAUACAACUUUGGUGUAUAAUAUUUUAUUUUUUAUAUAUUUCCUGUCAGUGUGGACAGAAAUCUGCUGCUGCAGUUGAUCCACUGCUGUGCUGCCUCUGACGCCCAGCAGGGGGCAGCCGUCAGCCUGCUCAGGACUCUGCAGCACAGGCUGGAUCUGUCCUGCUCCUCCUGUGUGGAGCUGCUGCAGGAGGGUCAGAGUGAAACUCUCAGUCUGACUGAUGAGGACUGCAGGGCCGUCUCCACCAUCCUGAGACACAGCAGCCAGCACACUCAGCUCCACCUGCAGGACUGUGAGGUGGAGGACAGCGGACUGGACCUGCUGUUUCCUGUCCUGGACAGAGUCCUCCUCAGAGCCAGUAAGACUGUCGUCCUCCAGCUGCUGUCCCUGGUUCCUGUGAACAGAGACAGAGACACAGUGAGACGGGCGGUGUCCCUGUGUGGAGCCCUGGGUGGAGAACUGGACCUCAGUCACACCACACUGGAUCAGAGCUCCUGUGGAGCUUUGGCUCAGCUGCUGGACGUCUCUGAAGGGCUGACAGAACUGGACCUGAGUCACUGUGAGCUCACUGACCAGCUGCUGCUCUCACUCCUCACACAUCUGCACAAAGUCCAAGUCCUGGAUCUGAGUCACAAUAAGAUCACUGAUGCUUCUGCUGACAUGUUACUUGAACUGGUCUCCAUCAACCCCUCCAUGGACACUGUGCGGUGAGAAAUAAGACAUCUGCGUUUCAUCAUCUCAGAUUAGAUUAAUACUGUUACAUAUGUUAUUGUGGGUGAGUGAGUGAUGUUUCUCUGCUUUGGUUUUUUAGACUCUUUGGAAACAACAUUGAGGACAGAACACCCUUUAAGACAGAGAAGCAGUUUGAAAUGUGGUGAUUGGACGCCAACAUUAGCUGUCGUCGUGUUAUUUUACCUUGAUAUAAAGCCUGAUGUCCCUCUUGAUUAUCUCUGAUCACCAUCCUCAGUCUUUCAGGUGGUUAAAUUAUGUCAGUUUUUUCUUGCAACCUGGAGCGCACCAAUUCGACAUUUGUUCCCCCAGAAUAACCCGAAAAAGGUCUGUAUGUUGCUCAGGGACUAACAGUUUGUUUAACGAUAGUAAAAUGAAAUUACUACUAAAGUACGAGGCCUAGACUAGAUUAUCCCAGCAGAAAAUACUGCUAAACGUACACAUACUGCAGUUGUGGUGCUGCAGUAACAUGGUCACAUCAGGUUAGACGAGAUGUUUCACAUGCUGAAGACCACUUCAGAAUUUCUACCUUGUUAGACAAGACUGUUUGUAUGGAGGCCAAGAGCAGCCGGUAGUGUUUGCUAAUGAUUAUUAUUAUUUUAUUUUUUCUCUUAUGGUGUUUUUAUACACUGUUCUGUUGGGAUCGUAACUAUUUUUUGAUAGCGGCAAAACAAAUAGAGGAUGUAACUUUUUUAAAUAAGUAUUUUGAAUAUUUGUAAUUUUGGAUUUUGUAUUUUGUGAUAACUGUCUUUUUGUAUUCUUGGAAGCAUUAG